GUCUUUUAUUGUCCUUUGUCUGCCAUGUGCACAAUGGAGUUUUGCCUCUGUCCUUGGAGAUAAUUGGAUUACUUCCCAAUUAUCUCCAGGACAGAGAGGAGGGAUUGUGAUGCAUUGUGGGAUUGUAAGCUUGUGAUUGGUCAAUGUCCAAUAUGUUUCCCAGUUUCCCAUCUGGUCCCUAGGGGAGUGUCAACCAGGUGGGAGACCUGCAUAAAAGCUGGGCAGGUAGCCCCAGUAAAUCAUUUCUGCUUGACCCUCAAACAAAGUGUCGUCUCAUUCUUGGAGAGAAUUGGAUUGUAUGCUGUUACAGUGCGACUGCCAGGAGUGUAAGCUGUUUGUAUGUUUUUUCCUGUUCGGCUGUUUAACAGCAUCCGUGUUUUCGGAAGUUGGUGAAUACGUGUGUUUCCUGUUCGGGAGUUGGAGGAUUCGUAUGGUUCCAGUUCGGGAGUUAGAGAAUUUGUGUGUUUGCAGUUCGGGAGAUUGGUGAUUGCAGUAGCUGCCUGUGCAUCUGAAAGGGGAAUAUCGCCUAAACA